GAUAAGAAGAAUAACACUGUUGAUGGAAUUUUAUUCUAAGCAUUGAGGGAGUCAACAAUGAGAAAACUGCAAAGAAUCAAGGCCAAGUCCUUUUAGGUGAAGAUGGCAAUCUGGAAAGACCCUAGAAUAAUACCAUUUAGAGAAGACCACUAAUAUGUGCCAUUAGAGCUUUAAGUACAUUAUGUCUAGUUAAAGCCAUGCUGACAAUCGGUAUUAAGACCCAAGAAAUAUCAAAUUACUUGCCCAUUUUUACCCAGUUAAAGACUAAAGGCAAGAAUGUUUAGAGAUAUUUUUACUGUUCCAUUUUGCCUCAAAAAAUGUUAUGGGCAAUUAGUAGAAUAGAUACACAGGAGAAAUCUUAAAAGCCUUAACUCCAUACAGAAUGCCCCUCAAAUUUAUUGUGAAUUGUAUUAUAAUGAAUACAUUAAUAAAAAGCAUUAAUAAUACUCAGUAUGCAAUAAUUUACUAUUGUUUGUUGCUGAGUUAUUUAAACACCAUUUCUUGCCAGGUCAGAUAGAUCUUGUUCAACUUUGGAAAUGUUACUUAG
rnacentral:lncRNA from 1 species